rnacentral:rRNA from 1 species
GUAGGGUGCAAGCGUUAAUCGGAAUUACUGGGCGUAAAGCGUGCGCAGGCGGUUUUGUAAGUCUGAUGUGAAAUCCCCGGGCUCAACCUGGGAAUUGCAUUGGAGACUGCAAGGCUAGAAUCUGGCAGAGGGGGGUAGAAUUCCACGUGUAGCAGUGAAAUGCGUAGAUAUGUGGAGGAACACCGAUGGCGAAGGCAGCCCCCUGGGUCAAGAUUGACGCUCAUGCACGAAAGCGUGGGGAGCAAACAGGAUUAGAUACCCUGGUAGUCCACGCCCCUAAACGAUGUCUACUAGUUGUCGGGUCUUAAUUGACUUGGUAACGCAGCUAACGCGUGAAGUAGACCGCCCUGGGAGUACGGUCGCAAGAUUA